UACGGAGGGAGCUAGCGUUGUUCGGAAUUACUGGGCGUAAAGCGUGCGCAGGCGGUUUUGUAAGACAGAUGUGAAAUCCCCGGGCUCAACUGGGGAGGGUCACGCGAUACUGAUCGACUCGAAGGCAGGAGAGGGUAGUGGAAUUCCCGGUGUAGUGGUGAAAUGCGUAGAUAUCGGGAGGAACACCAGUGGCGAAGGCGACUACCUGGCCUGUUCUUGACGCUGAGGCGCGAAAGCUAGGGGAGCAAACGGG
rnacentral:rRNA from 1 species